rnacentral:rRNA from 1 species
UAGGGAAUCUUCCGCAAUGGGCGAAAGCUUGACGGAGCAACGCCGCGUGAGUGAAGAAGGAUUUCGGUUCGUAAAGCUCUGUUGUUAGGGAAGAAUGAUUGUGUAGUAACUAUACACAGUAGAGACGGUACCUAACCAGAAAGCCACGGCUAACUACGUGCCAGCAGCCGCGGUAAUACGUAGGUGGCAAGCGUUGUCCGGAAUUAUUGGGCGUAAAGCGCGCGCAGGUGGUUUAAUAAGUCUGAUGUGAAAGCCCACGGCUCAACCGUGGAGGGUCAUUGGAAACUGUUAAACUUGAGUGCAGGAGAGAAAAGUGGAAUUCCUAGUGUAGCGGUGAAAUGCGUAGAGAUUAGGAGGAACACCAGUGGCGAAGGCGGCUUUUUGGCCUGUAACUGACACUGAGGCGCGAAAGCGUGGGGAGCAAACAGGAUUAGAUACCCUGGUAGUCCACGCCGUAAACGAUGAGUGCUAAGUGUUGGUCUCAUAAGAGAUCAGUGCUGCAGCUAACGCAUUAAGCACUCCGCCUGGGGAGUACGACCGCAAGGUUG